UACAGAGGUGGCAAGCGUUGUUCGGAAUUACUGGGCGUAAAGGGCUCGUAGGCGGCCAACUAAGUCAGACGUGAAAUCCCUCGGCUUAACCGGGGAACUGCGUCUGAUACUGGAUGGCUUGAGUGUAGGAGAGGGAUGCGGAAUUCCAGGUGUAGCGGUGAAAUGCGUAGAUAUCUGGAGGAACACCGGUGGGGAAGGCGGCAUCCUGGACUACUACUGACGCUGAGUGAGCGAAAGCCAGGGGAGCAAACGGG
rnacentral:rRNA from 1 species